UGGGGAAUUUUGGACAAUGGGCGAAAGCCUGAUCCAGCAAUGCCGCGUGUGUGAAGAAGGCCUUCGGGUUGUAAAGCACUUUUGUCCGGAAAGAAAUCCUUGGCUCUAAUACAGUCGGGGGAUGACGGUACCGGAAGAAUAAGCACCGGCUAACUACGUGCCAGCAGCCGCGGUAAUACGUAGGGUGCAAGCGUUAAUCGGAAUUACUGGGCGUAAAGCGUGCGCAGGCGGUUGCUAAGACCGAUGUGAAAUCCCCGGGCUCAACCUGGGAACUGCAUUGGUGACUGGCAGGCUAGAGUAUGGCAGAGGGGGGUAGAAUUCCACGUGUAGCAGUGAAAUGCGUAGAGAUGUGGAGGAAUACCGAUGGCGAAGGCAGCCCCCUGGGCCAAUACUGACGCUCAUGCACGAAAGCGUGGGGAGCAAACAGGAUUAGAUACCCUGGUAGUCCACGCCCUAAACGAUGUCAACUAGUUGUUGGGGAUUCAUUCCUUAGUAACGUAGCUAACGCGUGAAGUUGACCGCCUGGGGAGUACGUCGCAAGAUUAAAACUCAAAUGAAUUGACGGGGUCAUAGCUG
rnacentral:rRNA from 1 species